rnacentral:rRNA from 1 species
UACGUAGGGGCCUAGCGUUGUCCGGAUUUAUUGGGCGUAAAGAGCUCGUAGGCGGUUUGGUGAGUCGGGUGUGAAAUCUCCACGCUCAACGUGGAGGGGCCACCCGAUACUGCCAUGACUAGAGUCCGGUAGGGGAGUGUGGAAUUCCCGGUGUAGCGGUGAAAUGCGCAGAUAUCGGGAGGAACACCGAUGGCGAAGGCAGGUCUCUGGGCAUUAACUGACGCUGAGGAGCGAAAGCAUGGGGAGCGAACAGG